GAUGAACGCUGGCGGCGUGCCUAAUACAUGCAAGUCGAGCGAACAGACGAGGAGCUUGCUCCUCUGAUGUUAGCGGCGGACGGGUGAGUAACACGUGGAUAACCUACCUAUAAGACUGGGAUAACUUCGGGAAACCGGAGCUAAUACCGGAUAAUAUUUUUAACCGCAUGGUUCAAUAGUGAAAGACGGUCUUGCUGUCACUUAUAGAUGGAUCCGCGCCGCAUUAGCUAGUUGGUAAGGUAACGGCUUACCAAGGCAACGAUGCGUAGCCGACCUGAGAGGGCGAUCGGCCACACUGGAACUGAGACACGGUCCAGACUCCUACGGGAGGCAGCAGUAGGGAAUCUUCCGCAAUGGGCGAAAGCCUGACGGAGCAACGCCGCGUGAGUGAUGAAGGUCUUCGGAUCGUAAAACUCUGUUAUUAGGGAAGAACAAAUGUGUAAGUAACUAUGCACAUCUUGACGGUACCUAAUCAGAAAGCCACGGCUAACUACGUG
rnacentral:rRNA from 1 species